CCAUAACGAGCGCAACCCUUACCCUUAUUUGCCAGCGAUUCGGUCGGGAACUAUAAGGGGACUGCCGGUGAUAAACCGGAGGAAGGUGAGGACGACGUCAAGUCAUCAUGGCCCUUACGUGUAGGGCUACACACGUGCUACAAUGGGGAGUACAGAUAGACGCUAAAGCGCGAGCUGGUGCUAAUCUCAUAAAACUCUUCGUAGUCCGGAUUGCAGUCUGCAACUCGACUGCAUGAAGUCGGAAUCGCUAGUAAUCGCGAAUCAGCAUGUCGCGGUGAAUACGUUCUCGGGUCUUGUACACACCGCCCGU
rnacentral:rRNA from 1 species